rnacentral:lncRNA from 1 species
UUAUGAUUAAUGUGAUAAUUUUUCAGAUGAUUGAUUUUCAUAGAUUGUCAUAUAAUAAUCUGACUAGAGCUGCCCUGAGAAGACAGCAGGUUGAAGAGCAAAUGGCAUGCUUUCUGUGUUUUUGAAGGCAUCACCUACUGCAGCUUGUUGUUGCCUCCAGGUCUUGCCCGCAUCACCAGGGAGUCUGGAGUCUCUUGGAUUGAAGAAAAGAGUGACUAGGAAUGUGUCUUUUUCAUAUAUGAGAAAACAAUGAGAUACAGUUUGGAUGCAUCCUACCAGCAGAUAUAUACACAUCCUAAUUUAAUUAGAUUGUACUAAUUUAUACUUGAUUGACUGCUACCUACUUGACUUGAGCACAUCCUAAAGCAUAAGUGGCUACCAACGUUCCAGCUGGUGACUGGUAGUCUAUAGAACUAUGUUUAUGAUUUCAUCUAUAUCAAUGUUGAUUGUCCACUCCUUUUCAUCAUGGUUUUGGAAGGAGAAUGUGCUGACAAGGAACUCCUAGUCCACUUGUGUAAAAUUUUCUCUUGUAUUUGGUUUUUAAGAAAGGAGUAUCUGUUUUUUAACUAAAUUUCAAUGAUUUGUUUUGACAGUUACUUGGUGUUUUGUGUGUGUGUGUGUGUGUGUAGGAUUCCUCUAUUUUAUGUUCUUGAAGUAAUCCCUUCUUAAUCCUCCUCUUACUAUUUAUCUUCUUGCUUUGUGGUUUGGGUGACACAUCGUGGUUGGCAUGUUCUAAUGUACAUCAGGAUCUGUAUAUCCUUUCCAAAGGUUUUUCUUGUUUGUGAUCUUAGCCUAGGCAGGUACAAAUCCCUUCAGUUUAGGAAGCACUACUUCAAGCUUAAAAUCAACAGUUUGAAAUGAAACAGUAUUUUUUACUAUGUUGGUUCUCGAAAGAUUCAGGGGCAUGAGAAAGUGCUAAGGGAAGAUGUAGGAAAAUACAAACAGGGUUAUUUAUUUAUUUAACCAAUGAACUGCAGUGAGAUUGGUAGCCUCAGCUUCAUGAAUGGGAAUUUAUCACUGGACAAUUACUGAGGGAAAAAUAUCUAUGGUGCCCAUUCUCACAAAAUUACUGAUAACUUUGGACUGAGAAAAUGUGUACAGGCAAGGUUGUUUAUUAUGACACUUCCUUCUCUCUAUAUAGACUUUACUGACUUUUACUUCUAGUAAUAUAUGAAUGAAAAAUUAAAGAUUAUUCUAGAUUUGUAUUCAAAGUUCUUAUGGACCAUAUAGUAGUAAUUGUAGCACAAACUUCU